rfam:Canis lupus familiaris chromosome X, whole genome shotgun sequence.
GGGGGGAGGCCGGGUCCUGGGCUGUGUCCCCGGCGCCCUGGGCUCCGGGGCCUUGCGCUAUUGGAUUCGCGCUCCGGCCGGGCAGCCCCGU